UACGUAGGCAGCGAGCGUUGUUCGGAGUUACUGGGCGUAAAGGGUGCGCAGGCGGUGGAGCAAGUCUGAUGUGAAAUCUCCCGGCUUAACCGGGAGGUGCGUAGAAACUGUUCUGCUGGAGUGAGGGAGAGGCAAGCGGAAUUCCUGGUGUAGCGGUGAAAUGCGUAGAUAUCAGGAGGAACACCCGUGGUGCAGACGGCUUGCUGGACCUCCACUGACGCUGAGGCACGAAAGCGUGGGGAGCAAACAGG
rnacentral:rRNA from 1 species